rnacentral:lncRNA from 1 species
AAAUGAGUGACAGUAAGCUUAUUUGGAAAUGAGAAUUGCCAUAGGAGUGGUGGUAAAUGAAGCCCCACAAAUAACUAGGCACCAGUUAUCACCAUGCUGAUGAUUUCAGCAGCAUCUUAAAAACUAGUGAAUUCUUCCUACCCAGGUGCCAAGGGGAGGUAGAGUAACUCAUGGAGAAAAAUAACUACACAUUACAGACUGACUGGCAGAAUUUAAGGUUAACUUCAUUUAGAAAUCAUGGACUAUAUAUAUAAAUGGGCAUCAGUCUAGGUCAUAGUCAUAGGACUGUAGGGAAA